UACGUAGGCAGCAAGCGUUGUUCGGAGUUACUGGGCGUAAAGGGUGUGUAGGCGGUUGUUUAAGUUUGGUGUGAAAUCUCCCGGCUCAACUGGGAGGGUGCGCCGAAUACUGAAUGACUUCGAGUGCGGGAGAGGAGAGUGGAAUUCCUGGUGUAGCGGUGAAGUGCGUAGAUAUUGGGAGGAACACCAGUGGCGAAGGCGGCUCACUGGACCGGUACUGACGCUGAUGCGCGAAAGCGUGGGGAGCAAACGGGG
rnacentral:rRNA from 1 species